ACUGUGCAUAAGGCCUAGCAAAUGUGCAUGGACCAUGGAGAGGUCUCAUGUCUUCUGGCUUGAUGCACAUUU
rnacentral:miRNA from 1 species